CCUACGUGGGGCAGCAGUGGGGGAUAUUGCACAAUGGGGGGAACCCUGAUGCAGCGACGCCGCGUGGGCGAUGGAGUGCUUCGGCAUGUAAAGCCCUAUCAGCAGGGAAGAAAAUGACGGUACCUGACUAAGAAGCCCCGGCUAAAUACGUGCCAGCAGCCGCGGUAAUACGUAUGGGGCAAGCGUUAUCCGGAUUUACUGGGUGUAAAGGGAGCGUAGACGGCUGUGCAAGUCUGAAGUGAAAGGCAAGGGCUCAACCUUUGGACUGCUUUGGAAACUGUGCAGCUAGAGUGUCGGAGAGGCAAGUGGAAUUCCUAGUGUAGCGGUGAAAUGCGUAGAUAUUAGGAGGAACACCAGUGGCGAAGGCGGCUUGCUGGACGAUGACUGACGUUGAGGCUCGAAAGCGUGGGGAGCAAACAGGAUUAGAUACCCCAGUAGUC
rnacentral:rRNA from 1 species